rnacentral:rRNA from 1 species
GUUAAGCGACUAAGCGUACACGGUGGAUGCCCUGGCAGUCAGAGGCGAUGAAGGACGUGCUAAUCUGCGAUAAGCGUCGGUGAGGUGAUAUGAACCGUUAUAACCGGCGAUUUCCGAAUGGGGAAACCCAGUGUGUUUCGACACACUAUCAUUAACUGAAUCCAUAGGUUAAUGAGGCGAACCGGGGGAACUGAAACAUCUAAGUACCCCGAGGAAAAGAAAUCAACCGAGAUUCCCCCAGUAGCGGCGAGCGAACGGGGAGGAGCCCAGAGCCUGAAUCAGUGUGUGUGUUAGUGGAAGCGUCUGGAAAGGCGUGCGAUACAGGGUGACAGCCCCGUACACAAAAAUGCACAUGCUGUGAGCUCGAUGAGUAGGGCGGGACACGUGGUAUCCUGUCUGAAUAUGGGGGGACCAUCCUCCAAGGCUAAAUACUCCUGACUGACCGAUAGUGAACCAGUACCGUGAGGGAAAGGCGAAAAGAACCCCGGCGAGGGGAGUGAAAAAGAACCUGAAACCGUGUACGUACAAGCAGUGGGAGCCUCUU